AGGUAACCUACCCUCAGGACUGAGAUAACCCCGGGAAACUGGGGCUAAUAUUAGAUAGAUAAAAGAUACUGGAAUGUUCUUUUAUCCAAAGCUUUUGCGCCUGAGGAUGGGCCUGCGUCCGAUUAGGUUGUUGGUGGGGUAAUGGCCCACCAAGCCUGCGAUCGGUACGGGCAGUGAGAGCUGAAGCCCGGAGUUGGGGACUGAGACAAGGCCCCAGGCCCUACGGGGCGCAGCAGGCGCGAAACCUCUGCAAUGCGGGAAACCGUGACAGGGGGAUCCCAAGUGCUCAUGCAUUGCAUGGGCUGUUCUUUGGUCUAAGUAGCCAGAGGAGUAAGGGCUGGGCAAGACCGGUGCCAGCCGCCGCGGUAAUACCGGCAGCUCGAGUGGUAGCCGCGAUUAUUGGGCCUAAAGCGUUCGUAGCCGGAUAAGUAAGUCUUUGGUUAAAUCCUGCGACUUAACCGUGGGAAAUCUAGAGAUACUGCUUGUCUUGAGACCGGGAGAGGUUGGAGGUACUCCCAGGGUAGGGGUGAAAUCCUGUAAUCCUGGGGGGACCACCUGUGGCGAAGGCGUCCAACUGGAACGGGUCUGACGGUGAGGGACGAAACCUAGGGGAGCGAGCCGGAUUAGAUACCCGGGUAGUCCUAGGCGUAAAUGAUGCGAGUUAAGUGUGGGGGCAUCUACGAGAUGGCCCUGUGCUGUAGGGUAGCCGUUAAACUCGCCGCCUGGGGAGUACGGUCGCAAGGCUGAAACUUAA
rnacentral:rRNA from 1 species